AUGGAGAUUGCCCACCGGAACCGGGAGCCCUUCAACUUCAUGUCCGGCCGGAAGCGCCCGCGCCCGCUGGAGAUCCUUCGCCAGCGGUUCCAGUCAGAACUCGCCGCAGUCCGUCGCCUCCUCGCCGAGGCGGCCACCGUGCUUCCCGCCUCGUCCCCGUCGGCUCCCCGCGUGCGCGUCCGUCAAGCCGAGGAGCCUCCAGCCAAGAAGAGGAAGGCGUCCCCUCCCGUUCCCGUGAAGAUGACGCCCAAGGAGAGGAACCAACUCUACGGGGACCUCGCGAAGCUAGCCAAGCUGUCUGAAUCCCAUGUACUCCCUGCUCAUAUCCUGGAGCUGCUGAAGAAGCACAGCCGCCGCGGCAUCUGCGACGAUUACAUCGAGAUCGAGAUGCACGCCGUCCAAGACGCGUCCCUUGUGGAGAUGCAGAAGCAGCUGGACAAGCCGACACCAGUGCAGCUCGUCGAAGAGGACGAGGAGUACGUGGACAUCUGCAGCUCGUCGAAGAAUCUUGGCGGAGAUGCAACCAUCAGCGGCAGCAGCGGUUCGGAUUCUGAUUCUUCUCGCCAGAGCGUCGACAGUCCAGCUCCGGCACAGCGCGCCUCCAACACCAUGCCUGCAACACGCGACCUGAUCGCCCGUGCCAACGAGAUUUUGGAAAGGCGGCGAAAAGAGGAGACGUCCCGGGCGAGGGAGAAGGCCCGUCAGGAGCUGCUCCAGAUGGAGAGGACGGCAAUGCCGAACGACACCCUGGACGAGGACGUGAAGGCCCUUGGCAUUGAUCAGCACAACACGGCCAGGCCGGACAACUUGUUGCGACGGAUGGGACUCUUCCUCAAGCUAGACGACCACGACCUGAAGCAGCAGCAGCACCACCAGCACCAAAGCUGCCAAGAAGAUUUAGAGGAAGGGGAGAUUCGGCUGUGA
rnacentral:rRNA from 1 species